rnacentral:rRNA from 1 species
CCUACGGGUGGCUGCAGUCGAGAAUCUUCGGCAAUGGGCGCAAGCCUGACCGAGCGACGCCGCGUGGGGGACGAAGGCCCUCGGGUUGUAAACCCCUGUCGGGGGGGAGGAAGGCGUCGUGCAGAGCGGCGCUUGACCGAUCCCCGGAGGAAGCACGGGCUAAGUUCGUGCCAGCAGCCGCGGUAAGACGAACCGUGCGAACGUUAUUCGGAAUCACUGGGCUUAAAGCGCGUGUAGGCGGGCCGCCGCGUCGGCCGCUGAAAGCCCCCGGCUCA